GAGACCGAGAGAGAGGGAGAGAAACAGAGUGCUUGAGAGAAGAGGCGUGCGGUGGGCUAGCCACCGUUUGUGGCGGACGACGGCGCCGGGGCGGGUGGGUCACGAUCCAACGCCAGUGAGGCAAAAAUCUUGGAGUUCUGGCAUUUUCUCGGUAGCCAAGCAGUAGAAAAUCCAUUUUUUUUUGGGUAAGUAUAAUUUUUAGGCUUGAUUUCUUGAUUUUUGUUUUGAUUUGGGUUGUUUUGUGAAGAUUUUCGUUAUUCCCACUUAUUCCGGUUCUAUAAUGGCAAAAAUCAACCACCAAAACAGUUGGAAUUGAUCUUCCAGCAAUUGAAGUCCGAUUUGAGCACCUAAACGUUGAUGCAGAAGUUCAUGUAAGGAGGCAGAGCCUUGCCUUCCUUCUUUAACUUCAUUAUAAACAUCCUAGAGAUGUAUGAAAUGUAAUGGCAAGGGAAAGAUAUAUGCUCUGCCUAUAGAGGUCAAUGUUUUGUAUUCAUUUAUAUAGUCAUCAUAGGUUUUGGUACACAAUUCAGAAUAUUUGUCUUCCGUAAUUUUCUUGAGUUGUAUGGCAUCUGGUAAAUCGAAGCUCAUAGAUGGAGAGACAUGCAUUUUUAUAACUACGUGGAGAAUUUGUCUGUUGAUAACUGAACUUAAUUAGUUGCUCAUUCUUUACAAGGUCUUUUGCUGUAUUAGAUCAGACAAUAGUUUAGUCUUAUUUGGACUUGCUCAGUGUAGCAAUGAGACAUGCAUAAAGAAAAAAACUUGGAUUGA